GAAAGGAAUAUUCAUGAUUUAUUUUGAUUGAGUUAUUUUCUGUUAUGUAAUUAGCAAUAGGAUUGCUAUUUAUGAAAUGUGCUGAUAUAUUUGUGUAAUAAGUCAACAUAUUUAGUGAACAGAAAAUAAAACCUUUCAAAUUUAAAAAUUAUUUUCGAAAUGCCAAAUCCUGACCCAUCAGCCCAAAUACUUAAUUAAAAAAAUUAAGUGUUGUCUAGUAGGUCUAGAA
rnacentral:lncRNA from 1 species